rnacentral:rRNA from 1 species
CAGCCGCCACGGGAAUACGAGGGGGGCAAGCGUUGUUCGGAAUUAUUGGGCGUAAAGGGUGCGUAGGCGGUUUGACAAGUCAUCUGUGAAAUCUAUGGGCUCAACCCAUAGUCUGCAGGCGAAACUGUCGGGCUUGAGUAUGGGAGAGGUGAGUGGUAUUUCCGGUGUAGCGGUGAAAUGCGUAGAUAUCGGAAGGAACACCUGUGGCGAAAGCGGCUCACUGGACCAUAACUGACGCUGAGGCACGAAAGCUAGGGGAGCAAACAGGAUUAGAUACCCCAGUAGUCCCUGUCUCUUAUAA